AGCAAGCCAGCUGGAAAACAGGAUGUCCAUCUGAACUAGCCUAAAUACAAUGCAGUACUUUAAAACGUUGUGCUCGAGGGUGUAAAAGUAUGCCCAAGAGCAGAACAAAGUAAACACAUCCGUCCUCCUCCUCCUGACCCCAGGCUUUACGACACGGGUCAUCAAAACACAAAAGAAGGGUGACUCUGGCAAUUAGCAACCAGUAAAUUAUUAACUAGCUUCAGUUCCCAGUGAAGAAAUGGAAUAAAUAGGAAGGGGAAAUCUGCUAAUGCCCUGGAGAAUAGUGGAACUGUAAACAAAGAAGCAGCCCUGGUUCCUAAAGAAUGAAGCUUGCCAAACAAAGAGCGAGACAUUUACAAAUGUAGCAGAUGAAGGCUGUGUAGCCAAUGUAAUAUAUUUGGCUUUUAGUAGAGGGCAUGACAUAGCGUCUCAUGUUCAGUGAGAGCCCUGAGGUCUACGUGCACACAUGGACAGUGUUACAUGGACUGAAAAUUGGCUGAAGGAUGACAAGCAAAGAGUAAUGCUGGGUGAAACCCUGGCCCUGCUGGGAGUUUUGGAUUUCACCCAGUGUGUUGAAAUGGUUGGGUGUGCUCUUGAUCUCAGGUCUAAGGUUGCAAAUAUCCAGUGUGAAGCUGCAAAUGUUUCUACGCUCCCCCUAUCAUCUCCGUCUCUGAGGUUAUCGCAG